rnacentral:rRNA from 1 species
GUGCCAGCAGCCGCGGUAAUACGGAGGGAGCGAACGUUGUUCGGAUUUACUGGGUGUAAAGGGUGCGUAGGCGGCCCCGUGUGUCGGAGGUGAAAUCCAGCGGCUCAACCGCUGGCCUGCCCCCGAAACUGCAGGGCUUGAGUCCGUGAGAGGAAGGCGGAAUUCCUGGUGUAACGGUGAAAUGUGCAGAUAUCAGGAAGAACACCCGUAGCGAAGGCGGCCUUCUGGUGCGGUACUGACGCUGAGGCACGAAAGCUAGGGUAUCGAACGGGAUUAGAUACCCCCGUAGUCC